rnacentral:rRNA from 1 species
UACGGGGGGGCAAGCGUUGUUCGGAAUUACUGGGCGUAAAGGGCUCGUAGGCGGCCAACUAAGUCAGACGUGAAAUCUCUCGGCUUAACCGGGGAACUGCAUCUGAUACUGGAUGGCUUGAGAUUGGGAGAGGGAUGCGGAAUUCCAGGUGUAGCGGUGAAAUGCGUAGAUAUCUGGAGGAACACCGGUGGCGAAGGCGGCAUCCUGGACCAACACUGACGCUGAGGAGCGAAAGCCAGGGGAGCAAACGGG